rnacentral:tRNA from 1 species
GCCACCGUGGCGGAAUCGGUAGACGUCGCGGAUUUAAAAUCCGUUGCCUGUAAGGGCGUGCCGGUUCGAGUCCGGCCGGUGGCA